AUUGAACGCUGGCGGCAGGCCUAACACAUGCAAGUCGAACGAGGGGGUGGCGGGAGAGUAAUCUGUGUGACACUGCCUGGUGGAGGGGGAUAAAUACUGGAAACGGUCGCUAAUAGCGUAUCCCAUCGUGUGUGCACAGAUGGGAUUAGCGAAUGGGUGGGGUAAAGGCUCACCGAGGCGACGAUCCCUAUCUGGUCUGAGAGGAAGACCAGCCACACUGGAACUGAGACACGGUCCAGACUCCUACGGGAGGCAGCAGUGGUGAAUAUUGCACAAUGGGCGCAAGCAUGAUGCAGCCAUGCCGCGUGUGUGAAGAAGGCCUUCGGGUUGUAAAGUACUUUCAGCGGGGAGGCGUUACCCGCAGAAGAAGCACCGGCUAACUCCGUGACAGCAGCCGCGGUAAUUC
rnacentral:rRNA from 1 species